UACAGAGGGGGCAAGCGUUGUUCGGAAUUACUGGGCGUAAAGGGCGCGUAGGCGGCCUUCUAAGUCGAACGUGAAAUCCCCAGGCUCAACUUGGGAACUGCGUCCGAUACUGGAUGGCUUGAGUGCGGGAGAGGGAUGUGGAAUUCCAGGUGUAGCGGUGAAAUGCGUAGAUAUCGGAAGGAACAUCAGUGGCGAAAGCGACUUCCUGGACCAAUACUGACGCUCAUGUGCGAAAGCGUGGGGAGCAAACAGG
rnacentral:rRNA from 1 species